GAUGAACGCUGGCGGCGUGCCUAAUACAUGCAAGUCGAGCGAACAGACGAGGAGCUUGCUCCUCUGACGUUAGCGGCGGACGGGUGAGUAACACGUGGAUAACCUACCUAUAAGACUGGGAUAACUUCGGGAAACCGGAGCUAAUACCGGAUAAUAUAUUGAACCGCAUGGUUCAAUAGUGAAAGACGGUUUUGCUGUCACUUAUAGAUGGAUCCGCGCCGCAUUAGCUAGUUGGUAAGGUAACGGCUUACCAAGGCGACGAUGCGUAGCCGACCUGAGAGGGUGAUCGGCCACACUGGAACUGAGACAGGGUCCAGACUCCUACGGGAGGCAGCAGUAGGGAAUCGUCCGCAAUGGGCGAAAGCCUGGCGGAGCAACGCCGCGUGAGUGAUGAAGGUCUUCGGAUCGUAAAACUCUGUUAUUAGGGAAGAACAAAUGUGUAAGUAACUAUGCACGUCUUGACGGUACCUAAUCAGAAAGCCACGGCUAACUACGUG
rnacentral:rRNA from 1 species